rnacentral:tRNA from 1 species
UCCCUAGUGGCUCAGCGGUAAAGAAUCUGCCUGCCAGUGCAGGAGACCUGGGUUUGAUCCCUGGCUUGGGAA